CUUAUGAAGCUCCGGACCAAUGAGGAGCAGAUGUUAACAGGCACCUGCACACUGAGAUGCUUCUGUGACAGAGUAGAAAGGGACACCCUCUUUUACACUGCAGCUGGGGGAGGCCUCCCAAGGUGUGACUUAGAGAUCGCAGGUGGGAAAGAAGGUCAUGAGCCCAGGGUCCUGGGGCCCAGGAAUAAGCAGAGGUGCGGAGUGGGGAAGGCCGAGUUCCACAGAAAGCAGAAGCAGGAAGAGUUCCGGGAACGACUCUACCAGCCACACCCCCUUAUUUGGGAAAAUUUUGACUCUCCUGAAGUUUCAGCAGCUGGACCAGCCACAGGGUAGAAGCCUGCUGCCACUGCCACAGUGCCCAACCCCUAUAGAGCAUGUGGGCACCAAAACUAGCCUCGGGAGUGCUGAGCCCACACUGAGCUCCCCAUGAAGGCCUGGCCUCGGCCCUGUUUUCUCCCCUGAGUGAGGACAGGCUUUGCACCUGCCCCGUCUACUACUCCUGGAGCUCCUGACCCAGGACAUCCGCUCCCAGCCCCAGAUGACACACACACUGCAUCGUCCACCAGCCCAAGGGUGUCUUCCCGUGAGCUGUUUCCCUUCUGCUCUGCCAGGAAGUCUUACAGGUUCUACCUUCAAAACACACCCAGAACCCGACCGUGUCUCUCCACCACCACUGCUUUCGUGCUGAGCUCCCUGCCCCUGUGACUGUGGGUCUGUCCUCCACCCAGUGGCCAGCAAGCUCCUGUGAAGACCCCGUCAGAUCAGAGCACCACCUGCCUUGGACCCUGCAGCCUCUCUCUUCCACUUGGAAUAAAAACCAAGGCUCACAUGGCCCACAAGGCUUUCCAUGGUCUAUAUCUCCACCCCAAAUCUCAGCUCUUCUAUCACCUCCUGUUCCC